UACGGAGGGGGCAAGCGUUAUCCGGAUUUACUGGGUUUAAAGGGUGCGUAGGCGGGCAGGUAAGUCCGGGGUGAAAUCUCUGAGCUUAACUCAGAAACUGCCAUGGAUACUAUUUGUCUUGAAUAUUGUGGAGGUAAGCGGAAUAUGUCAUGUAGCGGUGAAAUGCUUAGAUAUGACAUAGAACACCAAUUGCGAAGGCAGCUUACUACACAGUUAUUGACGCUGAGGCACGAAAGCGUGGGGAUCAAACAGG
rnacentral:rRNA from 1 species